rnacentral:tRNA from 1 species
UCCCUUGUGGCUCAGAGGUAAAGAAUCUGCCUGAGAUGCAGGGGACCCAGGUUCGAUCCCUGGAUCGGGAG